AAAAAGAUGGCCCUGAUUAUCCACCUCUAAAAGCCCUGCAGGUGAAAUCCAAAGAGUCAGAGCGUAGUAGGUACUUAAGCUAUAUUCCCUUACUUUUCCACCAGAGACAACACAUAUUUUUUCAGGCUUUGUGAACCUUUUGCAAAUAACAAAUGCUUUGUUCUAUUUUGGGAAUCCUGGUGAAGUCCCAGACCUUCCCGUCACCUGACAAACUCAAGAAGAUGAAUACUCUUUGAGCAAAUGCAGUGAACCAGUCAGUAUAAGUUUCCUAGUCCCUUCCAGGCACAGGAGUCUAUCAUGUACUC
rnacentral:lncRNA from 1 species